UACAGGGGGGGCAAGCGUUGUUCGGAAUUACUGGGCGUAAAGGGCUCGUAGGUGGCCGACUAAGUCAGACGUGAAAUCCCUCAGCUUAACUGGGGAACUGCGCCUGAUACUGGAUGGCUUGAGUUUGGGAGAGGGAUGCGGAAUUCCAGGUGUAGCGGUGAAAUGCGCAGAUAUCGGGAGGAACACCGGUGGCGAAGGCGGUUCUCUGGGCCUUACCUGACGCUGAGGAGCGAAAGCGUGGGGAGCGAACAGG
rnacentral:rRNA from 1 species